rnacentral:rRNA from 1 species
GACGAACGCUGGCGGCGUGCUUAACACAUGCAAGUCGAACGGAAAGGCCUCUUUCGCGUGGUACUCGAGUGGCGAACGGGUGAGUAACACGUGAGUAACCUGCCCUUUACUUUGUGAUAACUUCAGGAAACUGGGGCUAAUACCUAAUAGGAGCUCCGACUGCAUGGUGGGGGUUGGAGAGUUUCGGCGGUUGGGGGUGGGCUGGCGGCGUAUCCGCUUGUUGGUGGGGUAGUGGCUUGCCAAGGCGUUGACGGGUAGCCGGACUGUGGCGGUGACAGGCGACACUGGCACCGACGGAAGGCCCAGGUGCCUAAGGGAGGACGAAGUGGGGAAGACUGAACCAGGGGUGGCAGGCGGAUGCAGAAAGGCCGCGGGCGGGAUAACGGCCUUGGGGUUGUAGAACGGCUUCGCGCAUGACGAAGGCUUGUGUGACGGUAGUGGGUAAAGAAGCACCGGCUAACUACGUG